CAUGCUCAGUGUAAAUUCUCCUGGAGCCUGUCAAGCUAUGUUUGAACUCGUUCCAGAAUAGUGGAUUUACUUUUUUUUCCCCACCAGGAAGAAUACUCGAGUAGACUGUAUUUUGCCUUGCUUUUCUUUUUUCCCUUUCUCUCUUUCUUUCUCUUUCUUUCUUUUCUUCUUUCUUUCUUUCUUUCUUUCUUUCUUUCUUUCUUUCUUUCUUUCUUUCUUUCUUUCUUUCUUUCUUUCUCUUUCUUUCUCUUUCUUUCCUUUCUUUUUCUUUCUUUUCUUCCUUUCCUUUUCUCUCUUUCCUUCUUUCUUUUUCUUCUUUCUUCUUUCUUCCCUUCCUUCCUUCUUUCUUUACAUUUUUUUUCCUCCAGAAGAAUGGAAACAAUAUUCAUUUCUCAUCAGUUCAGUAAUACAAUGCCCUUCAGUGUCCAUAUGAGCAUUUCAGUGGAGAAGAAAAGAAACUUUGCUACCUGGGAACUGAAGACUACUUAGUGAAGAUCCUGGUGUUACACAUCCAAUUGUUCACCUCCUUCCAAGACUGUGACAUUCCAGGAAACCUUCAGUGCUAAGAGGAACUGAUAUCUACAGUAUCUCCUCGAGGAAGUAUAACCGCAUUAUAAAUUAAGGAGGAAAAGUAACAAAGAGCUUGAAGACAUGCACAGCUCACAGGCCCCGGGUGGAGGCUGGCGGCAUCAGACACACAGAACCAAGACAUCUGAGGGGCAACCAGGAGGUGCGUGUGGCUGCAGAGCACACAGGUAGGAACCCGCAAGAGGACAGUCGUGACGGGGGGAGGAGUGGAUGGAGCAUUCACAAAAGGUGGUCAGCAGAGAUUAAAGGGGAAAGGCAGUGCAGAGGAGUUGGGAGACGGAGGGAGAGAGGAGGAAGGAGUUCCAAAGGAGUGCAAAAGAAAAAAAUGUUUGCAGGGUGUGAUGCGAAAGGCUGACCACGGAGUGGGAGAGGGAGGGUUUGGAAAGUGAAUCAGAGACAUAAGAGGGUUUGAAGUUGGUUCCAACUCGGCCACCCCGGAAACUUCACAAGACACGAGAGGAUGGGAGAUUGACACUAAAGGCUCAGUUGCACAAGAAAAUUCAAAGUGAGUAGGUGUGCCAGAAAGUCAAUCUAAUCAUUCUGGUUGUGUCAUAUAGCCACACCCACUCCGGACUUUAACCCAAACUAGAAGGAAUUCUGGUCUGAGGGUGUUUUCAGGUCCUCUCCGCUCAGAACUCAUGUUUCACACUUUCCCUUUCUUCCUUCGGCUCUUCCACAGUCGUUCUAGGUAAUGGAUUAGGAGUCAGAAAUUCCGUGUUCUAGUCCAGGCUUUGCCACUUUCUGGUGAGACUGGCUUAAGAAAAGAAAUAUCUGAGUUUCCUUUUCCUUUGUCUAUAAAAGGAAGAUAAUAAUAUAUUACUUAUGAGCCCUACAGGGUUUUUCUGAGGGAUGAAUAAGUCAGAUAGUGUGAAUGAAUGCUUUUAAUAGACUACAAUUGCUAGUUAAAUAAAAUAUGGCAUUAAUAAUAAUUAAUCAGUUAUUAUAUUCUUCCUAUCCUCAACAACGGAUUUGCCUACUGAGCUGUGGAGAAAUAUAUAUAUGAAGAAUAAGAUAAUAUAUAACAUAUACAUUAUAUAGGUAUAUUAGCCUUAACCUACUAUCUGUGGGAAAAUUUAGAAUAUAUGACUCUGUUUCCACAGCACAUGUUAGAGUAACCUUUUUGGCAGAUAAAUAGGAAUCUUUGUGUUCUUACCUUUUAGCCACCAUCAAAUGUUCUUUUCCCCGACCUCGGCUACAGUUUUGUGUUUCUCAAACAUGCAGAUAAUGAUUGAUGGUGUCUGCCUGGCUACCUAGAUGAGUGAUUUGUCUGUGUCCUGGACACUGCUGCCGGAGCAAAUGUCACACCGUGUCUCAGGCACAUGAUCAGACUAAAUAUGCUUGGAAGAAGCAAAUAAGAGUCUCUGUUAAUCAGUUAAUCAUCCCAUCACUAUAUUCCUUGCCUGAAAUGUGUUUUUUUUUUGUUUGUUUGUUUUUGUUUUUUUUUUUUUGGUCUGGGUCAUUUGUUUCUUAGUUCAUUGAAAUUUCUUGGAUGGAAAAUUGGGUUCUGCACACUGGGUGUGGCUGGUUGAGUCUGGCUGUGAAGACUGAAGUUGGCUUUGAUGCCUAUAGAUGCACUCACCCUUCGCUUGGGUUCCAGAGGCCAUGUGGUGUAUGGGGAAGGCAGUGUAGAUGGUGGGAAAAUCACUUGACUUCUCUUGUUCAUCUGUCAAAUGAAACUGUUACCAUCCUUCCUUUGUGCAUCCAAAUGUAGAUGUAAGGGGCACAUGAGAUUAUACUGCACACGCCAACAGUUCGUAACUCUCCAAGUGCUGUAUAAUUGUAAGGUUUUAUUGUCAUUAUUCUGUUGCAUGUUUCUUACUAGUGAUUUACCCAUAUUUCACAAUUUAAAUUAUUUGAAAAGCUGUCUUUCCCCAGCUGUUAAUAUAUUCUCUUACUUUUUUUCAUUUCCACCAAUCAACUGAUAAAUCAAAUAUUUAUAGAGAUGCUAAAUUUGUCAUAUACUUACUCACUGUCAAAAACUUAGUAUCCUAUCUAAAUCACAUGAAUAGAUGCACAAUGUGUACAUAGACUAUUUGUAUUCUUCUACAAAUACUAAAUACAUAUAUACAUCCUUUUUUCGUGCAUGUGCCCAUUCCCCUUUUAAUAAAAAUAUAUGUAAAUAUGUAUUUGAGCAAGAAACGUAUACCUACAUCCACACACAAAGCGUCUUCACUUAGAUAGCAGAUUUAAUGGGGAAGAGGAACAAACACAUCACUCUAUCAGUAUUGCAACUAUUUUAGAGUCCAGAAGUGACCACAAUACACAAUUCAUGUGGUUAAAAAAAAUCAUGGAUCAAUUUCUGCCCUGUUCCUAGUAAUGAAUAUCAAUAUCUUGCCUCUUCUAGACAGACUGUCAGCAGCUUCAGACAUUUUUAAAUGAGUUUUUAAAAAUAAAUAUGCGAAGUCAAUUAUUUUGAAUCUCAUCUGAAGCAAUUAAAAAACAUCCUGACAUUUAAGGUGAUAUUUUUUCCCAAGUAAAAUAAUUAUAAAUAAUACUAAUUAUGAGCAAAUCAUUCAGUUACUCUCAGUCUAGUUCAACCUUUAGGUUAAUAAACCAAUCCAUUAAAAUUCAUCUUGCUCAAAGGACCAAUUUGUUAAAAAAUGUAAAGACCUUUCGCCAGAAGUAUGAUUGAUAUUUUCUUUAACAAUAAUCAGAGCUGUCUUUCCCAGAACAGAGUAUGGUCAAGUGACAGGUAUAGAAAACUGGUGUGCUUUUAUACCUCUCUUGGUACUACUUCUCAGAUAGGUACAAAAUGAUAUUGAUGACGAUGAAGAUGGUAGUGAUAAUGUACGAAAUUAAAACUCUAAUGUUAAAGAGAGUACCUUAAAAAGAUGUUUGAAAGCCUCAAGACAACUGAUCACAAAACCCAACUAUAUUACUCUUCAUGCCACAAACAGAAUUUAGAUAUUCCCCUCUGCUUCUGGUGUUUCAUUCUCACCAAAGGUGUAGGGUGGAGAUUUGCAAAUGUGUCCCAUGGGCCAAAUCUGGUCCACUACCUGUUAUAAAUAAAGUUUUAUUGGAACAAAGCCCAUCCAUUUAUUUAGAUACUGUCUUUGGCUGCUUUUCUACUAUAGAGGCAGAAUGGAGUUGUUACAACAGAGACCACAUGGUCCACAAAUGUUAAAAUGCUAUUAUCAUUCUCUCACCAAUAAAAAAAAAAAAAGUUUGCCAACCUCUGUGUUACGUAAUGGGGAAAAAAAUACUCAUCUUUGAAUUUAUAACAGUAGCUAAUAUUUGAACAGCACUUUAGAGUUUAUAAAGUCUGACCAUGUUAUGUAUUAUUAUCUUCACUUAACUAAUGAAGAAAUUGCUGACUUUUCUUUUUUUUUUUUUUUAAUUAUACUUUAAG